rnacentral:tRNA from 1 species
UAGCUCAGCUGGUUAGAGCGCACGCCUGAUAAGCGUGAGGUCGGUGGUUCGAGUCCA